AUUUAAUGCUUCAGCAUAUAAAAUAAAAUGCAUCCAAUUCUUAACAGCAAGAGAGGCAGGCAGGCUAUUAGUUGGAAAAAUUCAUGCAUUAAAAAUGAAGGUAGAAGGCCCAAGUACCUCAACUGCUGCUUGCAAUCAGCAGUUUAGUGGCAGCUAAAUAGCCCUGCUGCCUUAUCGUAUUUCUGUCAGAUUUCAGCUCAGAUAUAUCUUGCAAUUAAAUCUGAAUUUUGAUGAUUGGGACUCUAAAAUACCAAAUGGAUUAUCUGAAAGUUAUGAGCAGUUGUAACGCUCUUAAUUCCUUUUUUAAACUUCAUCACAAGUACUGUGAAAAGCAGAAAUAAAAAUCAGUUGUUCUCAGUGGACAUAAUGACACAUUUUUUUUUAUGGAUCUGUAUCCUUGCAAUAAGUGGAAUCAAAUUUUUAUUAAAAUUCACCUUGGCAUCAUUUGAGUUCACAACUUCGUGGUUAUUAUGCUUUUCUGCUCCAGUUCCUACUUCUUUAUCUGACCCAACUGCCAAUUUGUACUCUGCAACCUUUGACCCUCACUAGCCAGAGUUUUCUGCUCUGGAUAGUGGCUGUACUGAUCCUUCACACACAGCCCCAUGUUCAUUAGAUUUGUCCAUUUCUUUGUUCCUUAAAAACAUAGGUUGCUAUGGUGUUCGUGACCCUUUAAAGUUGAAAGAGGGGAGUAUCUUUGCUGCAGGGCUUAUGGUCAUUCAGCAGCAUAUGAUAGAGUUAUUUUUAACUGUACAGUGUUAGACAGUUCAGAAUGAAAUACUGUAAAUUUUAUUUGGAUACCUUACAAACAUAUUAAUAUUGGUCACAAAAUUAUUUUCCACUCAUGGAAGAUUUAAAUUAACAAGAGAAGCUUUUCUUUACUGUAGGUAUUCAUCAGCUUGCAGGAUAAUAAAUAUAUUUCUUGCAUCAUAAGAUAGCACUAGGUGCUGGUAACUACAUAAAAAUAAUCUUUCUCACUCUACAUACACAUCAAAACUCCUGUUCAGUCUUCAGAUUCUGUUGCAGUUUGACUGCAAAGCCACUUCAGAACAUCCCUGUGCUGUGCUGAUGGGAGCUGAAGCCACAGCAGAGCAUCAGAGCCUUUCUGGACCUCACUGCCUGCCAGGAUGACUUCCUAAGUGCCUGGGAGAGAAGAGGGGAAGGACAACAGGAUGGUCCUAAGCUCCUGAAACACCUACCUACAGCUCCAAUGAAAAAUACUUACUGAUCAGUCAAAUCAGUGUGGAUUUGUUAUGCUGAAGAAAAGCAUUUAACUGGCACUAAACAAUGCUACUCCAAGUUCAGACUGCAUGGCAGCAGUGCAGCCCAGCACUGUCACACACAGACAUGCAGUAUCACACCAGUGGGAUACAUGCCCCAGAGGACUGGGGGAAAGCAAGCAGCUGCAGCAGCACUGGCAGUGCUGACUGCCCAGAACACGUCUCACAUCCAUAACAGCACGUGGAUGGCUUCACUGUCUGCCUGGUGAACAGAGGGAUGUGUGAGAGGCUUGUAAGCCAGCUCCUGUGUGUCACUAAUAAUUCUGAACUCACAGGUUCAUCAGCUGUGUAAUGUUCUUGUUUGUUUUUCUCAGCAGUCCGAGUUGCUGUUUUACUUUCGGAUGGGCUAUCAUUAAAAUGUUAAAAUUCAACUGUGUAGAUCAAGUGCAUAUUUUGUUCCAUGAUGAAGGAGCCAGAAUGAGAUGCAGCUGCAGAGUGUGGUUCAAUAACAUUCAUGGAAAAGGCCACUAAAUUUGGCUUGAACGUUAACUCAAAAUUAGUAUUCUCUGUCCUACUUGUGAAGAUGUGUGAGUAUACCCAUACCCUUCCUAUCCAGAAACCUUGUCAUCUUCCUAUUUCAGGGCAGAAUGAGACCAUCAACACUUUCUGACAUCUGGAGCUGAAUCUAGACACAGGGUGUCUAACAUCUUCGU